CCCUUAGACGUUCUGGGCCGCGCGCGCGCUACACUGACAAAGGCAACGAGCUACUCUUCACCGAAAGGUGUGGGUAAUCUUUUGAAACUUUGUCGUGCUGGGGAUAGAUCCUUGCAAUUUUUGAUCUUAAACGAGGAAUUCCUAGUAAGCGCAAGUCAUCAACUUGCGUUGAUUACGUCCCUGCCCUUUGUACACACCGCCCGUCGCUACUACCGAUUGAAUGGUUUAGUGAGGCCUUCGGAUCCGCGACUCGUUUGUGGAGAAGUUGGACAAACUCAGUCAUUUAGAGGAAGUAAAAGUCGUAACA
rnacentral:rRNA from 1 species